AAUGAACGCUGGCGGCGUGCUUAACACAUGCAAGUCGUACGAGAAAUCUUCUGCUUGCAGAAGAGAGUAAAGUGGCGCACGGGUGAGUAACGCGUGGGUAAUCUACCCUCGAAUCGGGGAUAACAUUGCGAAAGCGAUGCUAAUACCGGAUGAUAUCCUUUGGAUUUCGGUCCGUAGGAUCAAAGGUGGCCUCUUCAUGAAAGCUACUGUUUGAGGAUGAGCCCGCGUACCAUUAGCUUGUUGGUGGGGUAAUGGCCCACCAAGGCUACGAUGGUUAGCUGGUCUGAGAGGAUGAUCAGCCACACUGGAACUGACACACGGUCCAG
rnacentral:rRNA from 1 species